ACUAGGAUUAGAUACCCUAUUAUUUAAAAUGUAAAUAAUAAAGCUAAGGUAGUAGUAGUUAUGUUCUUGAAACUUAAAAAAUUUGGCGGUAUUUUAGUCUAUUCAGAGGAACCUGUUCUGUAAUCGAUAAUCCACGAUGGACCUUACUUAAGUUUGUAAUCAGUUUAUAUACCGUCGUUAUUAGAAUAUUUUACAAGAAUGUUAAUUUUCUAAAUUUUUUUAAGAAAGUAUAUCAGAUCAAGGUGUAGCUAAUAUUUAAGUAGAAAUGGGUUACAAUAAAUUUAUUUAUACGGAUAUAAAUUUGAAAUAUUUAUUGAAGGUGGAUUUGAUAGUAAAAUUAUAAAGAUAAAUA
rnacentral:rRNA from 1 species